rnacentral:rRNA from 1 species
CAUCCUCCAAGGCUAAAUACUCCUGACUGACCGAUAGUGAACCAGUACCGUGAGGGAAAGGCGAAAAGAACCCCGGCGAGGGGAGUGAAAAAGAACCUGAAACCGUGUACGUACAAGCAGUGGGAGCACAGGUUUACCUGUGUGACUGCGUACCUUUUGUAUAAUGGGUCAGCGACUUAUAUUCUGUAGCAAGGUUAACCGAAUAGGGGA